UACGUAGGGGCAAGCGUUGUCCGGAAUCAUUGGGCGUAAAGAGCGUGUAGGCGGCCUGAUAAGUCGGCUGUGAAAGUCAAGGGCUCAACCCUUGAAUGCCGGCCGAUACUGUCAGGCUAGAGUCCGGAAGAGGCGAGUGGAAUUCCCGGUGUAGCGGUGGAAAUGCGCAGAUAUCGGGAAGAACGACCCGUGGCGAAGGCGGCUACUCGUGGGACG
rnacentral:rRNA from 1 species